rnacentral:sRNA from 1 species
CCGGGCCGUUUAUAUCAAUCAUCAGCGUCGAAAACGAGCAACUAUUAAAGGGCCUGUCCGGCAACUUUCAAACCUGUCAAUUUUUGACAGCUUAGAGAAAAUUCCCAUACGAGAUUUGCUUCCGCUUACGUAUUUUGCCGGACAGGCCCUUUAAGUAGCGAUAAACUAAUCUGGUAUCGAGAGAACUGUCCAUCAAGAUUCCUUAGCUGUGACAAAUGUUCCAGAAGAACGGACUUUGAGUACCAAGUAGCACAUAUGAGGAAGUGAUGCAAUUUCGUCC